CAGGAUUAGAUACCCUGGUAGUCCACGCUGUAAACGAUGUCGAUUUGGAGUUUGGGGGCAUGACCCUUGGGCUCCGGAGCUAACGCGUUAAAUCGACCGCCUGGGGAGUACGGCCGCAAGGUUAAAACUCAAAUGAAUUGACGGGGGCCCGCACAAGCGGUGGAGCAUGUGGUUUAAUUCGAUGCAACGCGAAGAACCUUACCUGGUCUUGACAUCCAUAGAAUCUUUCAGAGAUGAGGGAGUGCCUUCGGGAGCUAUGAGACAGGUGCUGCAUGGCUGUCGUCAGCUCGUGUUGUGAAAUGUUGGGUUAAGUCCCGCAACGAGCGCAACCCCUAUCCUUUGUUGCCAGCACGUAAUGGUGGGAACUCAAAGGAGACUGCCGUUGAUAAAGCGGAGGAAGGUGGGGACGACGUCAAGUCAUCAUGGCCCUUACGACCAGGGCUACACACGUGCUACAAUGGCGUAUACAAAGGGAUGCGAAGGUGCGAACUGGAGCGGACCUCACAAAGUACGUCUAAGUCCGGAUUGGAGUCUGCAACUCGACUCCAUGAAGUCGGAAUCGCUAGUAAUCGUGAAUCAGAAUGUCACGGUGAAUACGUUCCCGGGCCUUGUACACACCGCCCGUCACACCAUGGGAGUGGGUUGCACCAGAAGUAGAUAGCUUAACCUUCGGGAGGGCGUUUACCACGGUGUGGUUCAUGACUGGGGUGAAGUCGUAACAAGGUAACCA
rnacentral:rRNA from 1 species